GACUACUGGGGUAUCUAAGCCUGUUUGCUCCCCACGCUUUCGUGCCUCAGUGUCAGGACAAGCCCAGUGGGCCGUCUUCACCAUCGGCAUUCCAGUAGAUAUCUACGCAUUUCACCGCUCCACCUACUGUUCUGCCCACCCAUACUUGCCUCGAGGCCUGUAGUAUGCCCUGCUGUUCCUCAGUUGAGCUGAGGGCUUUCACAGAACACUUACAGGCCCACCUACGCACCCUUUAAGCCCAGUGAUUCCGACUAACGCUUGUGGCCUCUGUAUUACCGCGACUGCUGGCACAGAGUUAGUCGCCACUUCCUCUGGGGUCGAUCAUUGGUUCCAACCCCUGACAGUGGUUUACACGUCAGAGACGCUUCAUCCCACACGCGGCAUUGCUCCGUCAGGCUUGCGCCCAUUGCGGAAGAUUCCUCACUGCAGCCUCCCGUAGG
rnacentral:rRNA from 1 species